GCAGAGCCGUGGCCCUCUUCUUUGUUCUCUGCUGGAUCCAAGAGAUGGGGUUUCAUCAUGUUGGCCAGGCUGGUCAUGAACUCCUGACCUCAAUGGAUCCUCCUGCCUCAGCUUCCUGAGUAGCUGGGAUCACAGGUGCACACCACCACACCCAGAUGAAAUUCUGCUGCAAGUGUUUUCCAAGGUUCCGUAUGACCCAUCAUUUGAUGAAACAAGAACAGCAGUCAGAUCCAUUACAAAGAGAGACACACAAAAAAGCUAUUCCCAACAAAAGAGCUUGAACAGUGCUGCAUUUGCAUCAGGUUCAAAUGAGCGAGAGGAACAUUUGGCUAAAAUAUUUGAUGAAAUUCUACUGCAGGUGUUUCCAAAGGUUCCGUAUCAUCCAUCAUUUAACGAAACAACAGCAGUCAGAUCCAUUACAAAGACAGACAUGAGAAAAGGAACCAGUGUUGUUUGGAAAUCUCCUAAACCAGAAUAUUUCCUUGGCAGUGUGGACAAAAUUCCCGAUAAAGAUCACCUUUCAGAGGAGAAGAGUUUUAAAGAAUCCUCUCUGUUCGACAGGGUUUUAAGAGAGCAGUUAACUACUGUAGAUAAAGAAACACUUCAAGGGGCAGCUAAACCAG
rnacentral:sRNA from 1 species